GAUUUCAUUGACCUCCAGAGGAAAGAGAAGGAGGCGUAUGCCUGGCUGCAAGCAGGGAAGAUCUAUUACAUCUUGCGGCAGAGCGAGCUGGUGACCUGUACAUCCAGGUGGCACAGAAUGUGGACCUUACACAGGCGACCCCAACCUGGGGCUGGAGCUGUUUGAGGCAGCUGGAGACAUCUUCAAUGGGGCCUGGGAGCGGGAGGAAGGCAUGUCCUUCUACCGGGACCAGGCCCUGCCCCUGGCAGUGACUACGGGCAACCGCGAGGCGGAGCUGCAGCUACAGCUGUGCAACAAGCUGGUGGCACUCCUGGCCACGCUGGA